rnacentral:rRNA from 1 species
UACGAAGGGGGCUAGCGUUGCUCGGAAUCACUGGGCGUAAAGGGUGCGUAGGCGGGUCUUUAAGUCAGGGGUGAAAUCCUGGAGCUCAACUCCAGAACUGCCUUUGAUACUGAGGAUCUUGAGUUCGGGAGAGGUGAGUGGAACUGCGAGUGUAGAGGUGAAAUUCGUAGAUAUUCGCAAGAACACCAGUGGCGAAGGCGGCUCACUGGCCCGAUACUGACGCUGAGGCACGAAAAGCGUGGGGGAGCAAACAGGG